AGAACGAACGCUGGCGGCACGCCUAACACAUGCAAGUCGAGCGCCCAGCAAUGGGAGCGGCGGACGGGUGAGUAACACGUGGGAAUAUGCCUUUCGGUACGGAACAACUCAGGGAAACUUGAGCUAAUGCCGUAUACGCCCUUACGGGGAAAGAUUUAUCGCCGAAAGAUUAGCCCGCGUCUGAUUAGCUAGUUGGUGAGGUAACGGCUCACCAAGGCUACGAUGGGUAGCUGGUCUGAGAGGACGAUCAGCCACACUGGGACUGAGACACGGCCCAGACUCCUACGGGAGGCAGCAGUGGGGAAUCUUGCGCAAUGCGCGAAAGCGUGACGCAGCAACGCCGCGUGGGGGAAGAAGGCUUUCGGGUUGUAAACCCCUUUCAGGUUGGACGAAGCUUCGCCGGUGAAUAGCCGACUGGAGUGACGGUACCUUCGAGAAGAGCCCCGGCUAACUACGUGCCAGCAGCCGC
rnacentral:rRNA from 1 species